rnacentral:rRNA from 1 species
UACGUAGGUGGCAAGCGUUGUCCGGAUUUAUUGGGUUUAAAGGGUGCGUAGGCGGUCUAUUAAGUCAGCGGUGAAAUACUCCAGCUUAACUGGAGAGGUGCCAUUGAUACUGAUGGACUUGAGUCAAGUCGAGGUAGGCGGAAUUGACGGUGUAGCGGUGAAAUGCGUAGAUAUCGGGAGGAACACCAGUGGCGAAGGCGAGUCUCUGGGAUGAUGCUGACGCUGAGGCGCGAAAGCCAGGGGAGCAAACGGG